CAGAUAUGACUUAGAAUAUGAUUGAAUAUGAAUACAUGAUUGAAGAUAUAUUAUAAAAUUGAGAUACUUGUUGCACCACUCCAGGCAUAUCGUGUGCACUGGCCCUGCUAGCUAAUGCUCUUCCCUCCACUACCAUCACCUUAUGGGUGGGGACUCUCGUGGAAAGGCUAGAUGAUGGAGUCACGUGCUCCCUUCCCGUUCACUAGCUGCUGAUUGGCCAACUGCUCCUGCCAGC